rnacentral:tmRNA from 1 species
GGGGACGCAAGGCUUCGACAUUGGAUUGAUCUUUGAUAAUCUGCAGGUCAAGCUGGGCUAACUUGCAAACUGGCCCAAAACCAAAAAGGCAACAGAAAUGCUGCUCUCGCGUACGCUUAACUAAGCGCGGCGACAUCGGUGGUCCGAAGUUCCAUAGGAUCAAUUACCGGUGUUAUACCUGGAACUAAGGUAGCGCUCAUUGAGUUUCUAGACGCUACUCGAAAACCUUAGAAGCUCAACUGCUGUUCUUUUUGAACUAAGCCUGUAGAUGAUUAUUGAAGGUGCCAAUGCACGGGGUUUCGAUACCCCCGUCUCCACUC